rnacentral:lncRNA from 1 species
GGAACACUUACCACCACAUUUUAUGAAGCUAAUAUUACCCUGAUACUAAAACCAGAAAAAGACAGUGAAAAAAAAAAAAAAGAAAGAAAAGUAGAUAUCAAUAUCUUUUCAGCGACUUUUGACCCAAGAUGCGUAGCCCUGGGGCUUUCUGUGCUCCUCGGCCCCUUGGUCUCCACGCAGAGGCUCCUGGGCUCACUCUCUCCUCCCAUCUCCUCUUCUAGGAAGCAUUGAUGCGGCUGUCCAGCCUGUUGGAUCAGCUGCAACCCACCCUGGUCUGUAUGGACUGAGGGGUCUCCCUGGGCUGGGCCGAGCAGGAGGAGGCUGAGCAGUGAAAACGGUGACCCCUGCCCUCACGGAGCUAACGAGAAGAGCAAAUGGCUGGCAACGGUGCAUGACACAGAAUGAGCAACGGGCUGCACACAUCGCGAUUUACGUGGCUUUGGAAAAAACGCGUCUCACAAGUUGGGGCUGUCAUACAUUGGCUUCUUGGUAAUCAAUGCGUUUCAGCAAUAUAUGGGGGUGAGUUUAGUUUCCAGUUGGCUUCCCUGAGGGUGUUGGAUAAAAUUG